rnacentral:lncRNA from 1 species
AUUAUACUGGUGGGCGACCUAGAACAUGAAGUAUUCCCGCACUUUACUGGUGGGCGACCUAGAACAUAAAUGUAUUCCCGCAUUAUACUGGUGGGCGACCUAGAACAGAAAGUAUUCCCGCAUUUUACUGGUGGGCGACCUAGAACAGAAAGUAUUCCCGCAUUUUACUGGUGGGCAACCUAGAACAGAAAGUAUUCCCGCAUUUUACUGGUGGGCGACCUAGAACAGAAAGUAUUCCCGCAUUUUACUGGUGGGCGACCUAGAACAGAAAGUAUUCCCGCAUUUUACUGGUGGGCGACCUAGAACAUGAAUGUAUUCCCGCAUUAUACUGGUAGGCGACCUAGAACAGAAAGUAUUCCCGCAUUUUACUGGUGGGCGACCUAGAACAGAAAGUAUUCCCGCAUUUUACUGGUGGGCGACCUAGAACAUGAAUGUAUUCCCGUAUUAUACUGGU